CCUACGGGUGGCAGCAGUGAGGAAUAUUGGUCAAUGGACGAGAGUCUGAACCAGCCAAGUAGCGUGAAGGAUGACUGCCCUAUGGGUUGUAAACUUCUUUUAUAUGGGAAUAAAAUGUUCCACGUGUGGGAUUUUGUAUGUACCAUAUGAAUAAGGAUCGGCUAACUCCGUGCCAGCAGCCGCGGUAAUACGGAGGAUCCGAGCGUUAUCUGGAUUUAUUGGGUUUAAAGGGAGCGUAGGUGGAUUGUUAAGUCAGUUGUGAAAGUUUGCGGCUCAACCGUAAAAUUGCAGUUGAAACUGGCAGUCUUGAGUACAGUAGAGGUGGGCGGAAUUCGUGGUGUAGCGGUGAAAUGCUUAGAUAUCACGAAGAACUCCGAUUGCGAAGGCAGUUCACUGGACUGCAACUGACACUGAGGCUCGAAAGUGUGGGUAUCAAACAGGAAUAGAUACCCUUGUAGUC
rnacentral:rRNA from 1 species